UGUGAAUCGAAGCCUCUUGUACGGGCAAGUAUGCUGAUGAUUUCGCUGUGAUUUCCACUAAAGCUCCGUUGGCAUCUACAGAAAAUACUGUCCCUUUGACCUUGGUACCCAUUUCUGAGUCAAAAUCAUAUUUUUCAAGGGCAGAGUGAAAAUCUUCAACAGUGAAAGCUACACCUUCCAUAGGAGCUGUACGGCAUCUUUCAUAAGCUUGUUCAAACAUCUCCUUAAGCUUGAUUCUCUCUCUUGUUUCUGCAUUUGUAGUCGCCACUGCCCCAGCUCGAGACACAAUCUUUUGCUUUCUAUGAACAAUAAUAAUGGGAUUUACAAUAUUCUUUUUGGAUUGAACAAUUCUUGUUGUUGAAAUUGGUGAACACUUUAAUCCAACAAAUUGAUGUGCUAAAGAUCCCAUCUUUUUG
rnacentral:misc_RNA from 1 species